rnacentral:rRNA from 1 species
UACCUACGGGGGGCAGCAGUGGGGAAUAUUGCACAAUGGGGGAAACCCUGAUGCAGCGACGCCGCGUGAGUGAAGAAGUAUUUCGGUAUGUAAAGCUCUAUCAGCAGGGAAGAAAAUGACGGUACCUGACUAAGAAGCCCCGGCUAACUACGUGCCAGCAGCCGCGGUAAUACGUAGGGGGCAAGCGUUAUCCGGAUUUACUGGGUGUAAAGGGAGCGUAGACGGCGCUGCAAGUCCGGAGUGAAAGCCCAUGGCUUAACCAUGGUACUGCUCUGGAAACUGUGGAGCUUGAG